CGGGCUGUACGCAAAGUGGGAAAGCGGCCGGCGCUCGAUGCCGGUGAUGGUGGAGGUUCGAGUCCUCCUGGCCCGACCA
rnacentral:tRNA from 1 species